rnacentral:snoRNA from 10 species
AUGACCAAUGGUGAGAGUGUAUCAUGAAGCAAGGAAUGUGAUUAAUUCAGUUCUGUGAACCCAAGUUCCAGU